GAUGAUGAGCAAGAUGAUGCUGCUUUCACCGCCAUUGUCGUGGUUGGGGAGGAGGUCCAAAUGAAGGAAAAAGCGGAGAUGGUGAAUUUUGCGCCGCGAACGGCGUACAAGGGUUUUGCAGAGAGAAAAAGAUGGUACGGACGGAUUUGAGUAAGAAUAGAGGGUGAGGUUUAUGGUGGAAUCCAAGGGGUUAAGUGGAAAUGUAUUAUAAAGUAAGGGAAAUUAGGCUAAUUAGUAUGGUUUUGACCCCUCAACCUUGAAAAGUAAGCAUCUGAGUCCCUGACCUAUUUGAAUUCGUCAAUCUAAGUUCUCAC
rnacentral:lncRNA from 1 species